rnacentral:rRNA from 1 species
AAUAUUGGACAAUGGGGGCAACCCGGAUCCAGCCAGGCCGCGUGGGUGAAGAAGGUCUUGGGAUUGUAAUGCAUGUUAACUUGGGAGGAAGGGCUUUAGGUGAAUACCCUGAAGUUUUGACGUUACCAACAGAAUAAGCAACGGAUAACUCUGUGCCAGCAGCCGCGGUAAUACAGAGGGUGCAAGCGUUAAUCGGAAUUAUUGGGCGUAAAGCGCGCGUAGGUGGUUCGGUAAGAUGGGUGUGAAAUCCCCGGGCUUAACCUGGGAACUGCUUUCACAACUGCUGAGCUAGAGUACGGUAGAGGGUAGUGGAAUUUCCUGUGUAGCGGUGAAAUGCGUAGAUAUAGGAAGGAACACCAGUGGCGAAGGCGACUACCUGGACUGAUACUGACACUGAGGUGCGAAAGCGUGGGGAGCAA